GAGUCUUUGACCUUUACCAAAUAAGAGCAGGAAGCUUGGUGACUGAUCUCCUUCAAUCAUUCACCAUACAAUCCUCUCUGUUACACACACACACACAUAUAUAUAUAUAUGCACACACACAUAUACAUUUCUUUUUCUGUAUAAUUCUCUGUUUUGAUUAUACGGUACAGACAUGGUUGAAACCAGGCAAAGCUCAUCUUCCUCAAAACGUCCGCUUUCGUCUUCUCUCCCCAACCGCAAACGAUCAAAGGCGGCGGAGGCAUCGCACCAGACACCUUGUGCGCCUCCUGUGGAAACCCCAGAGCCGGCAAAGGAAUUGGGUUUUGAUACGCCUUGUGCCGAUACUUCGAAAGCGUUGGAUGGAUUGGAUGCGACUGUGGCUGAGAAAUCUCCGGUUGUUGCAUUUGAAGGCGAGCCAUUGGUGUCUCCAAUGGCUUUAGAUGAUUCCGCCAUUGAUGCGGAGAAGACGAAGUCGGUUGAUUCAAUUUUGAAUCGUGCCCAGAAACGGCAACUGAUGCAAAAGCGGAAGGUCGAGUGGGGAAAGCUUCUGUCCCAGUACCCUCAGAACCCUCAUGUGCUUUUGAGCAGUCCUAUAUUCACUGUUGGUCAAGGCCGUCAGUGCGACUUAUCAAUAAGAGAUCCAUCCAUUAGUAAAUCUUUGUGCAACUUGACGCGUGUGGAGCCUGAGUGUGGAGGUUCUUCUGUCAUCUUUCUUAAAAUUACUGGGGGAAAAGGUGCUGUCCAAGUAAAUGGCAAGGUUUAUCCUAAAAAUUCUGCCAUACCUCUCAAUGAAGGUGAUGAGGUGGUUUUUACUUCAUCUGGUAAACAUGCUUAUAUUUUCGAGCAACUUGUCAGUGAUAACUUAGCUACUCCAGGCAUGUUGCCUUCAAUAAGCAUAUUAGAAGCCCAUCGUGCUCCAGUAAAAGGAUUACACAUUGAGGCAAGAUCAGGAGACCCUUCAGCAGUUGCAGGGGCAUCCAUAUUAGCAUCUUUGUCUAAUCUUCAAAAAGAGUUAUCCCUUCCUCCAACAUCUCGUCAUGAUGAUGAUGUUCAACAAGGUUCUGAAAUGCAUGUGUUACCUACUGCUUUUGAGGUAUCAGAUAAUAAUAUACUGGAUGCUGACAUGAAGGACACUUCUGAUCAUAAAAAUGGGGCCAGCGUCCUGUCAAGUGAGAAUGCUGUUAUUCCACCUUUUGAUGCUGCUGAUGAAGAUCUUAAUGCCAAUGGCAUUGGAUUGGAUGCUUCUGUGGGUGCAAAAAUUGAAAAGGUCCCCAGGGCAACUCACGAAUUAAGACCGCUCCGGGAUAUGCUUGCAGGAUCAUCUUCAUCUGAUAUUGAUUUAAGUGGUAGCAUCUCAAAACUUCUUGAUAAGCAGAGUGAGAUCAGAGAACUGCUCAAGGAUAUUGAUCCUGCCAUUUUGACAUCGACAAGGCGUGAAGCUUUUGUAGAUGGAUUAAAAGAAGGAAUUCUCAACCCCAACGACAUUGAAGUUUCAUUCGAAAAAUUUCCUUAUUAUUUAAGUGAGACCACGAAGACUGUUUUGAUUGCUUCCACAUACAUACAUAUGAAAUGUAAUAAAUUUGUGAAGCACGCCUCAGAUCUCCCUACCUUGUGCCCAAGAAUAUUAUUAUCUGGUCCUGCAGGUUCGGAAAUGUAUCAGGAGACAUUGACUAAGGCACUUGCCAAAUACUUCGGUGCUAGACUCCUAAUAGUUGAUUCUCUUCUAUUGCCUGGUGGAUUAGCGCCAAAGGAUUUUGAUUCUGUAAAAGAGAAUUCAAGGUCUGAAAGAGCAAGCGUGUUUCCUAAACGUGCUGCACAGGCUGCUGUAUUACAGCUCAGGAAAUCAGUUUCACAUGUUGAGGCUGAUAUGACCGAUGGAUCUAAUGCAAUCUCUCAGGCCAAGUCUAAGCAGGAUGCAUCUAUUGCAUUGUUGAAGAACUACACUUUCAAAAAAGGUGAUAGAGUAAAAUUCGUUGGUUCGAUAUCAUCUGGAUUCUCUCCUCUUCAAAUUCCUUUAAGGGGUCCAACAUAUGGUUAUAGAGGCAAAGUAGUUCUUGCGUUUGAAAAAAAUCGAUCUUCCAAAAUUGGGGUCAGAUUUGAUAAAUCUAUUCCUGAAGGAAAUGACCUUGGGGGUCUUUGUGAAGAAGAUCACGGUUUCUUUUGUGCUGCUGACUUACUUCGCCUGGAUAGUUCCACUAGUGACGAUGUUUACAAGCCUGCUAUUAGCGAACUUUUUGAGGUUGCUUCAAAUGAAAGUAAAAGCACUCCAUUGAUUUUAUUUGUGAAAGACUUGGAGAAGUCUUUAGUGGGGAAUUCAGAAGCAUAUGCAGCUUUCAAGAGCAAGCUUGAGAAUUUAAUGGGGAAUGUAGUUGUCAUUGCCUCCCAUACCCAGACGGACAACCGUAAGGAGAAGUCUCAUCCCGGUGGUUUUUUGUUUAAGAAGCUUGGGAGCAAUCAAACGGCAUUGUUUGACCUUGCAUUUACGGAUAACUUAGGUAAACUGCAUGAUAGAGGCAAAGAAACCCCCAAAGCAAUAAAGCAACUCACCCGUCUUUUCCCAAAUAAAGUGACUAUACAGAUGCCUCAGGAGGAAACUCUACUUUUGGACUGGAAACAACAGUUGGAUCAUGAUAUUGAGACACUAAAAUCACAGUCAAACAUUGUUAGCCUUCGCUCAGUUUUAAACCGAAACGGACUGGACUGCCUCAACCUUGAAACAGUAUGCAUUAAAGAUCAAGCCCUGACGAGUGAAAUUGCGGAGAAAAUUAUUGGAUGGGCUUUGAGUCAUCACUUUAUGCAUUGUUCUGAAGCUUCAGCUAAAGAUCCCAAACAUGUUAUUUCCGGUGAAAGUAUUAGGUAUGGGCUUAAUAUUCUACAGGGUAUUGAAAAUGAAACUAAUAGUUUGAAGAAUUCUCUGAAGGAUGUGGUAACUGAUAAUGAUUUUGAGAAGAGACUUCUUGCGGAUGUUAUUCCUCCAAGUGAUAUUGGGGUUACUUUUGAUGAUAUUGGUGCCUUGGAAAAUGUGAAAGAUACUUUAAAGGAAUUGGUGAUGUUACCUCUUCAAAGGCCAGAAUUGUUUUGUAAAGGGCAGCUGACAAAGCCUUGCAAGGGAAUACUACUCUUUGGACCUCCGGGUACUGGAAAAACGAUGCUUGCAAAGGCUGUUGCAACUGAGGCUGGUGCUAACUUUAUCAACAUAUCGAUGUCUAGUAUUACUUCAAAGUGGUUUGGUGAAGGAGAGAAGUUUGUCAAAGCAGUAUUCACUCUGGCUGGUAAAAUUGCUCCUAGUGUCGUCUUUGUUGACGAGGUUGACAGCAUGUUAGGAAGACGUGAAAAUCCUGGAGAACAUGAAGCAAUGCGUAAAAUGAAGAAUGAGUUCAUGGUGAACUGGGAUGGUCUGCGUACGAAGGAUAAGGAACGUGUACUGGUACUUGCUGCCACCAAUAGGCCCUUUGACCUUGAUGAAGCUGUCAUAAGGAGGCUUCCGCGUAGAUUAAUGGUAAACUUGCCAGAUGCCCCAAACAGAGGGAAAAUUUUAAAAGUUAUAUUGGCAAGGGAAGUACUGGCUCCUGACAUUAGACUCGAAGCAAUUGCUAAUAUGACUGAUGGCUAUUCAGGAAGCGACUUAAAGAAUCUAUGUGUGACAGCGGCCUAUUGUCCCAUAAGAGAAAUCUUGGAGAAGGAAAAGAAGGAGAAGGCUUUGGCAUUGGCAGAGAACAGACCCUUGCCUGCAUUGCACAGCAGUUCAGAUAUUCGUUCUUUGAGCAUGGAGGAUUUUAAAUAUGCACAUGAACAGGUGUGUGCAAGUGUAUCAUCAGAGUCUUCAAAUAUGAAUGAGCUCCUCCAAUGGAAUGAACUAUAUGGAGAAGGUGGAUCGAGGAGGAAGAGUUCCCUCAGCUACUUUAUGUAGAGGAGAUUAUGUUCAACAACGUCGUUCUACCUAUUUUGCAUGAAACUCUGAUUCUCAAACGUGGAAGAGCAUGAGCCAGAACAGAUCUGAAUGAUUUGGAUGUGUGCGCAUUGGUGUGAAUGGAAAUAUGCAAGACUCAUUGAUAUUCGGGUAUGGGUUAUGCCUACAUGAGUCACAAGAGGCAUACUGGUGUUACAGUACGAGUGCCCUUUUCCGAUAAACUCCCAACAUUGUUGGGAUUCAUGAGAAUAAUGUGUUAAUAUAUUUCUUAUUGCGAAGGAUCGGCAUUUUUCCCUUAUUAAGUGCACAAGUGGUGGUAAAUUUUGGAGAGGGUGGGAUGUUAGACAUUGUAAGAUUUGCUGAAUACCAGAAAACUAGAGUGAACAUUUUAGAACCGCCAGCUUAUUAUUAUUAUUUUUUUUCCUAGUUGGGACUCACACACACUGCCUCUACUGAGGUUCGAACUCCUGACCUCCUUUUGGGAGGUAGAAGUCUUGUACCGCUAAGCCACAGACCUGUUGGUCUCGCCAGCUUAUUUCAAUUGAAUGCAGGUUCAGAAAGUGCUUCUAGGAAGCUGUAAACCGGCUUUUGAGAAAGCACAGGGGGUGCUUAUGAGCUUGUAGCUUAUCUGGAACGCGUAUUUGUGCUUGUUUUGCAUUACUGGGUAUAAAUGUAUCUAGUUUGGCUCACUUGUAGUUGUGUUUAGUGGCACAAACUGUGUGGUAGAUAUAGUUACGUUUUCUUCGCACCCACUUUUGUCCCUCCGAAUGAAAUACUUUCUGUAGUGAUUAAAUAUUGAUAGGUAGUGAUAGGAUUUACUAAAGUAAAUCACUUUUACUUACGUGGCAAAUAUAAUUGGUUGUUGGCAUGGAUGCCGCAAUAUCACUCGUGUAGGAAAGUAUAUCUCGGGACUUAAACUCUCCCUUCUACUUUGGAAGGCAUGGAACCAUCAGCAGGCUACAAGAAGCACUCACGCAGCCAUUUUAUUCUACCGACCGCGUAGUUGUGUUUAGUUUCUUUGGUCUUGGAAUGACUUUCCUAAUCUCUUAAUUUCAUGUGAUUAUCAAGGAUAUAUACGUACUCAAUGAAGUAAAACAGUUAUUCUUUUCAUU